rnacentral:rRNA from 1 species
CUACGGGUCGCUCCAGUGAGGAAUAUUGCACAAUGGGGGGAACCCUGAUGCAGCAACGCCGCGUGGAGGAUGACGCAUUUCGGUGUGUAAACUCCUUUUAUAUGUCAAGAAAAUGACGGUAGCAUAUGAAUAAGCACCGGCUAACUCCGUGCCAGCAGCCGCGGGUGAAUACGGAGGGUGCAAGCGUUACUCGGAAUCACUGGGCGUAAAGGACGCGUAGGCGGGUUGGAAAGUCAGGUGUGAAAUCCUACAGCUUAACUGUAGAACUGCACUUGAAACUUCUAAUCUAGAGUAUGGGAGGGGGAGAUGGAAUUAGUGGUGUAGGGGUAAAAUCCGUAGAUAUCACUAGGAAUACCUAAAGCGAAGGCGAUCUCCUGGAACAUUACUGACGCUAAGGCGUGAAAGCGUGGGGAGCAAACAGGAUUAGAUACCCGCGUAGUC